rnacentral:tRNA from 1 species
GUCGACGUAGCUCAGCUAGUAGAGCAUCUCACUCAUAAAGAGAAGGUCGCAGGCGCGCACCCUGCCGUCGACA